rnacentral:rRNA from 2 species
UGAGUAACACGUGGGAAACCUGCCCAGAAGCGGGGGAUAACACCUGGAAACAGAUGCUAAUACCGCAUAACAACUUGGACCGCAUGGUCCGAGCUUGAAAGAUGGCUUCGGCUAUCACUUUUGGAUGGUCCCGCGGCGUAUUAGCUAGAUGGUGGGGUAACGGCUCACCAUGGCAAUGAUACGUAGCCGACCUGAGAGGGUAAUCGGCCACAUUGGGACUGAGACACGGCCCAAACUCCUACGGGAGGCAGCAGUAGGGAAUCUUCCACAAUGGACGAAAGUCUGAUGGAGCAACGCCGCGUGAGUGAAGAAGGGUUUCGGCUCGUAAAACUCUGUUGUUAAAGAAGAACAUAUCUGAGAGUAACUGUUCAGGUAUUGACGGUAUUUAACCAGAAAGCCACGGCUAACUACGUGCCAGCAGCCGCGGUAAUACGUAGGUGGCAAGCGUUGUCCGGAUUUAUUGGGCGUAAAGCGAGCGCAGGCGGUUUUUUAAGUCUGAUGUGAAAGCCUUCGGCUCAACCGAAGAAGUGCAUCGGAAACUGGGAAACUUGAGUGCAGAAGAGGACAGUGGAACUCCAUGUGUAGCGGUGAAAUGCGUAGAUAUAUGGAAGAACACCAGUGGCGAAGGCGGCUGUCUGGUCUGUAACUGACGCUGAGGCUCGAAAGUAUGGGUAGCAAACAGGAUUAGAUACCCUGGUAGUCCAUACCGUAAACGAUGAAUGCUAAGUGUUGGAGGGUUUCCGCCCUUCAGUGCUGCAGCUAACGCAUUAAGCAUUCCGCCUGGGGAGUACGGCCGCAAGGCUGAAACUCAAAGGAAUUGACGGGGGCCCGCACAAGCGGUGGAGCAUGUGGUUUAAUUCGAAGCUACGCGAAGAACCUUACCAGGUCUUGACAUACUAUGCAAAUCUAAGAGAUUAGACGUUCCCUUCGGGGACAUGGAUACAGGUGGUGCAUGGUUGUCGUCAGCUCGUGUCGUGAGAUGUUGGGUUAAGUCCCGCAACGAGCGCAACCCUUAUUAUCAGUUGCCAGCAUUAAGUUGGGCACUCUGGUGAGACUGCCGGUGACAAACCGGAGGAAGGUGGGGAUGACGUCAAAUCAUCAUGCCCCUUAUGACCUGGGCUACACACGUGCUACAAUGGAUGGUACAACGAGUUGCGAACUCGCGAGAGUAAGCUAAUCUCUUAAAGCCAUUCUCAGUUCGGAUUGUAGGCUGCAACUCGCCUACAUGAAGUCGGAAUCGCUAGUAAUCGCGGAUCAGCAUGCCGCGGUGAAUACGUUCCCGGGCCUUGUACACACCGCCCGUCACACCAUGAGAGUUUGUAACACCCAAAGUCGGUGGGGU